rnacentral:lncRNA from 1 species
AUCACAUCCACGCCUAGUUUAUGACCUUCUUGAGGCCUUGACGAGGUUCGUCAACUCGUCAAAAAAUAACAAAGCAUUUGAUCCCUCCAGCCUUGCUCCUCCGGUGCCUCCAAGACAAUGCAUCCUGCAAAUAUGCGUUAGUUACCACAGCAGGAUAGUGUAGGGUGCUGGAUGCUGGGCUGAGGCUAUUUGGAGCGAAGAGCAUCAAAAAAGUUGAAAGAAAAGAAAAAUAACCUCCAAGAAAAUUACACAACCGUGACAAAUAAAAACAGGAAAUCUCAUGGAUAGUUAAUAGAGUAAAUUUCUAUCGCUCAAAACAAAUAGGGUAAAUUUCUGACGUACAAAUAUCAUAUGAAAAUAGAAGCAUAAUAUAUGUUUUAAACUAACAUGUUGGGUGCGUGGGCUGUCUAGAUUUUCCAAAGGCUUUUCAAUAAUUAACAGUUAUUUCUGAAGUUCAAAAAGAUACAAUACAGUAAGAAAGUGUAGU